AUUGAACGCUGGCGGCAUGCCUUACACAUGCAAGUCGAACGGCAGCACGGGGGCAACCCUGGUGGCGAGUGGCGAACGGGUGAGUAAUGCAUCGGAACGUGCCCAGUAGUGGGGGAUAACCAGUCGAAAGACUGGCUAAUACCGCAUACGACCCAAGGGUGAAAGCGGGGGACCGUAAGGCCUCGCGCUAUUGGAGCGGCCGAUGUCUGAUUAGCUAGUUGGCGGGGUAAGAGCCCACCAAGGCGACGAUCAGUAGCUGGUCUGAGAGGACGACCAGCCACACGGGGACUGAGACACGGCCCAGACUCCUACGGGAGGCAGCAGUGGGGAAUUUUGGACAAUGGGCGCAAGCCUGAUCCAGCCAUGCCGCGUGAGUGAAGAAGGCCUUCGGGUUGUAAAGCUCUUUCGGCCGGGAAGAAAUCGCACGGGCUAAUACCCUGUGUGGAUGACGGUACCGGAAUAAGAAGCACCGGCUAACUACGUGCCAGCAGCCGCCGUAAAAC
rnacentral:rRNA from 1 species